GAUGAACGCUGGCGGCGUGCCUAAUACAUGCAAGUCGAGCGAACGGACGAGAAGCUUGCUUCUCUGAUGUUAGCGGCGGACGGGUGAGUAACACGUGGAUAACCUACCUAUAAGACUGGGAUAACUUCGGGAAACCGGAGCUAAUACCGGAUAAUAUUUUGAACCGCAUGGUUCAAAAGUGAAAGACGGUCUUGCUGUCACUUAUAGAUGGAUCCGCGCUGCAUUAGCUAGUUGGUAAGGUAACGGCUUACCAAGGCAACGAUGCAUAGCCGACCUGAGAGGGUGAUCGGCCACACUGGAACUGAGACACGGUCCAGACUCCUACGGGAGGCAGCAGUAGGGAAUCUUCCGCAAUGGGCGAAAGCCUGACGGAGCAACGCCGCGUGAGUGAUGAAGGUCUUCGGAUCGUAAAACUCUGUUAUUAGGGAAGAACAUAUGUGUAAGUAACUGUGCACAUCUUGACGGUACCUAAUCAGAAAGCCACGGCUAACUACGUGCCAGCAGCCGCGGUAAUACGUAGGUGGCAAGCGUUAUCCGGAAUUAUUGGGCGUAAAGCGCGCGUAGGCGGUUUUUUAAGUCUGAUGUGAAAGCCCACGGCUCACCGUGGAGGGUCAUUGGAAACUGGAAAACUUGAGUGCAGAAGAGGAAAGUGGAAUUCCAUGUGUAGCGGUGAAAUGCGCAGAGAUAUGGAGGAACACCAGUGGCGAAGGCGACUUUCUGGUCUGUAACUGACGCUGAUGUGCGAAAGCGUGGGGAUCAAACAGGAUUAGAUACCCUGGUAGUCCACGCCGUAAACGAUGAGUGCUAAGUGUUAGGGGGUUUCCGCCCCCUUAGUGCUGCAGCUAACGCAUUAAGCACUCCGCCUGGGGAGUACGACCGCAAGGUUGAAACUCAAAGGAAUUGACGGGGACCCGCACAAGCGGUGGAGCAUGUGGUUUAAUUCGAAGCAACGCGAAGAACCUUACCAAAUCUUGACAUCCUUUGACAACUCUAGAGAUAGAGCUUUCCCCUUCGGGGGACAAAGUGACAGGUGGUGCAUGGUUGUCGUCAGCUCGUGUCGUGAGAUGUUGGGUUAAGUCCCGCAACGAGCGCAACCCUUAAGCUUAGUUGCCAUCAUUAAGUUGGGCACUCUAAGUUGACUGCCGGUGACAAACCGGAGGAAGGUGGGGAUGACGUCAAAUCAUCAUGCCCCUUAUGAUUUGGGCUACACACGUGCUACAAUGGACAAUACAAAGGGCAGCGAAACCGCGAGGUCAAGCAAAUCCCAUAAAGUUGUUCUCAGUUCGGAUUGUAGUCUGCAACUCGACUACAUGAAGCUGGAAUCGCUAGUAAUCGUAGAUCAGCAUGCUACGGUGAAUACGUUCCCGGGUCU
rnacentral:rRNA from 1 species